rnacentral:misc_RNA from 1 species
AGCCAGGUGGAGGGCCAGCGUCGUGGCACCACUGCCGCCGCCUAUCCCCGAGACGGCGAAGAAACGAGAAGCUGUGCCGGGGAUACGGCGUUCGAUCUCCCCAAGGACGUCGGUGGGACGAUGCGGGUCGAAGACGACGGCUCCCUCGAUCGCGUCCUCCGGUCCGCAUACGGUGUGGUCGGCGGAGACGAUCUCCUCGUGGAGGGUGACCU